rnacentral:tRNA from 1 species
GGGCUAAAGCUUUUAGAAGCGCCGGUCUUUUAAUCCGUGUGAAGUUGGUUCACCCCGACUAGCCUAU